GAUGAACGCUGGCGGCGUGCCUAAUACAUGCAAGUCGAGCGAACAGAUGAGGAGCUUGCUCCUCUGACGUUAGCGGCGGACGGGUGAGUAACACGUGGAUAACCUACCUAUAAGACUGGGAUAACUUCGGGAAACCGGAGCUAAUACCGGAUAAUAUAUUGAACCGCAUGGUUCAAUAGUGAAAGACGGUUUUGCUGUCACUUAUAGAUGGAUCCGCGCCGCAUUAGCUAGUUGGUAAGGUAACGGCUUACCAAGGCAACGAUGCGUAGCCGACCUGAGAGGAUGAUCGGCCACACUGGAACUGAGACACGGUCCAGACUCCUACGGGAGGCAGCAGUAGGGAAUCUUCCGCAAAGGGCGAAAGCUUGACGGAGCAACGCCGCGUGAGUGAUGAAGGUCUUCGGAUCGUAAAACUCUGUUAUUAGGGAAGAACAAAUGUGUAAGUAACUAUGCACGUCUUGACGGUACCUAAUCAGAAAGCCACGGCUAACUACGUG
rnacentral:rRNA from 1 species